GGUAGUGUGACCGAGUGGUCUAUGGCGCUGGUUUAAGGCACCAGUCUCUUCGGAGGCAAAGGGUUCGAUACCCUUCAAUGUCA
rnacentral:tRNA from 1 species